AAAAAACCUUCCCAAGAUAAAUACAUCGGUAAAGGACUGUAUCCGGAGCAGGAGCAGAAGGAGAAGCAGCCCGGCCAAUUACAGGUCGUUUGGGAUUUGGUGCCCUUCCUCAUACAAACUUGCAGUUGCAUUGCACUCACUGUCUGUGUUUUUAGUGUCACAAACUCUGUUCGUGGUUCUCUGUUUGGCAGAAAUGAACGACCCCAAGUAUGCUUAUCCGUACCCUCCACCACCACCACCACAAGGGUAUUAUCAAGGGCCUCCUGUCAUGGCACCUCCUCAGUAUGCUCCUCCACCACCGCCCAGAAGAGAACCAGGUUUUCUUGAGGGAUGCCUCGCAGCUUUGUGUUGCUGUUGCUUAAUAGACGAGUGCUGCUGUGACCCCUCCAUCCUCAUUGUCAGCUGAUAAUUGUGUAGUUUCAUGAACAGUGUGAAGCUGAACUGUUUUAACUUUUAGUUAGUUUGGAGUUUGUUCAAGUUUGAUAAGCCAGCUUUGAAAUCCUUGAUCUAGAUCUUGGUGAUGUGGUUGUGGUUCUGAUUCUCUCAAGCUUUCUUCGCUGAUUUGAUUUU